UUUUGCUGUGAAAUGAACCAAUACACAUUGUCUGGAAGCCAUAUGUUUUUUUUCCAUUCUCUUAUUCCACUUUGCCACCUGUUUUGUGGAUUCACUUCAAGGAUCAGGAAGAAGACAAUUUUGCCAGUGUUUGUUGCUAUGGGGGUAAACAAUGGAGACCACUCAAUUUUUAAGGGAGAAUUCGAGGAAGAUGGAUCUAUGGAGAGAGUGAUCCUUUCUCUUGAACCUGGCAUCGCCACAAUUGAAUGAAUUAUCACACCUCGAAUUACACUGACAACUGCUGAGUAUUUGGCUUAAGAAUGUGGGAAACAUGUCUGGUUAUAUUGACAGAUAUGAGUUCUUAGGCAGAUGCUGUUCGUGAGGUAUCUGCUGCUCUGAAGAAGUCCCUGGAAGGCGUGGGUAUCCUGGUUAUAUGUAUACUGAUUUGGCCACUAUUUAUGAAUGUGCGGGGCGUAUAGGAGGAAAAGGUUCCAUCACCUAAAUUCCUAUUUUGACCAUGCCUAAUGAUGAUCAAGAACCAAAGAAAUCGGAGUUAGAUCGAGGAAAAGUUAAAGUCGUCGACUAAUCGUCCGGUUUCGAUUUGACACUGUCCGAGAUCAAGCUUCAAGCUCGGGGAUCGUCAGCAAGAUCAUCACUCUAUCUACUGUCUCGGUAUUAAACUGUUUAAAUUUUAAUUAUGGCAUGUACAGGCUAGAUAAAUGUUUUGGAAAGUCGUACUUUGAUAUAUUGUAUAUGAAAUUAAUAGUCAUACGAAAAUUAAUUAUAUUCUUAUGCUUUAACUGGAUUGUAAUUUUAAAGAGAAGUUUAAAAUUUUACAUGUUUAAUAUUAGACCUAGCAAUUUAUAUGUAACCGUUAAAAUUAUUGAACUAUACUGAA